rnacentral:rRNA from 1 species
GCAAGUCGAGCGAGAAAGCACUUGGGUGUGAGUAGAGCGGCGGACGGGUGAGUAACGCGUAGGAAUCUACCUGGUAGCGGGGGACAACUCGGGGAAACUCGAGCUAAUACCGCAUACGCCCUUCGGGGGAAAGCGGGGGACCUUCGGGCCUCGCACUAUCAGAUGAGCCUGCGUCGGAUUAGCUUGUUGGUGAGGUAAAGGCUCACCAAGGCGACGAUCCGUAGCUGGUCUGAGAGGAUGAUC